rfam:Bacterium P201 scaffold_101, whole genome shotgun sequence.
GCGAAAGAAAGUUAGGGCGUCUGGUGGAUGCCUUGGCUCUCGGAGGCGAUGAAGGACGUGAUAAGCUGCGAUAAGCCAUGGGUAGGUGCAAAUAACCUUUGAUCCAUGGAUUUCCGAAUGGGACAACCCAGCCGGCUGAAGGCCGGUUAUCUCUGCCUAUGCAGAGAGGCAAACCUAGGGAACUGAAACAUCUUAGUACCUAGAGGAAGAGAAAAUAAACAAUGAUUCCCCCAGUAGUGGCGAGCGACCGGGGAAGAGCCCAAACCGCAUGUGUAGCAAUGCAUAUACGGGGUAGUAGGACCACGUCGUGGCAUGCUGAUCGUGAGAAGAAUGUUCUGGAAAGUUCAAUCAUAGAAGGUGACAAUCCUGUAGUCGAAGCGUGAUGCAGCCUAGUGGCAUCCUGAGUAACGCGGGGCACGAGUAAUCCUGCGCGAAUCCGCCGGGACCAUCCGGUAAGGCUAAAUACUCCCGAGAGACCGAUAGCGAACCAGUACCGUGAGGGAAAGGUGAAAAGCACCCCGACGAGGGGAGUGAAAGAGUACCUGAAACCAGUCGCCUACAAGCGGUCGGAGCAUGUUUAUCAUGUGACGGCGUGCCUUUUGCAUAAUGAACCUACGAGUCACCAUCACAGGCGAGGUUAAGUCACUAAGUGACGCAACCGCAGUGAAAGCGAGGCUGAAGAGGCCGUUUAGUCUGUGGGGGUGGACGCGAAACCGAGUGAUCUACACAUGGUCAGGGUGAAGUCCCGGUAACACGGUAUGGAGGCCCGCACCAAUAAGCGUUGAAAAGCUUCUGGAUGAACUGUGUGUAGGAGUGAAAGGCCAAUCAAACUCGGAGAUAGCUCGUACUCCCCGAAAGGCAUUUAGGUGCCGCGUGCUGUGUUCACCCUGUGAGGUAGAGCGACCGAUAGGUCAAGAGGGCUUCACCGCCUAUCGCGACCUGACGAACUCCGAAUGCACAGGGUCCGUAGCAGUGCAGUAAGGGUGCGGGUGCUAAGGUCCGUGCCCGAGAGGAGAAGAAUCCAGACCGCCGUCUAAGGUCCCGGAGUUCUGCCUGAGUUAGUCUAACGAAGUCUGGUCUCGAUGACAGCUAGGAUGUUGGCUUGGAAGCAGCCAUUCAUUCAAAGAGUGCGUAACAGCUCACUAGUCGAGAGACCGGGCGUGGAUAAUAAUCGGGUAUAAGGCAGACACCGAAGGCGCGGGAUAGCAAAUAAUAAAAGUAUCGGUAGGGGAGCAUUCCAUCUGCGCCGAAGCAGACCGGUGACGAUCUGUGGAGCGGAUGGAAAAGCAAAUGUAGGUAUAAGUAACGAUAAGGGGCGUGAGAUCCGCCCCCGCCGAAAGACUAAGGUUUCCCGGGCGAUGUCAAUCAGCCCGGGGUCAGUCGGGUCCUAAGGCUCAGCCGAACGGCGAGGCCGAUGGCUGACACGGUUAAUAUUCCGUGACUUCCCAUUGGGGCGAUGUGGUGACGGAGCAGUGGAACUGCCGCGCGGCGACGGAUGUCCGCGUUAAAGGGUGUAGGCGUUGAUUGGGGCAGGCAAAUCCACCCCAAGAGCUGAAACCUGAAAGUACGGGACUCUCUUCGGAGAGACCUGACAGAGCAGGUAAUCAUACUCCCGAGAAAAACCGCUAAGCUUAACCUUUUGGGAACCCGUACCGCAAACGGACACACGUAGUCGGGUAGAAUAUACUAAGGCGUUGAGAGAUUCGUGGCUAAGGAACUAGGCAAACUGACCCUGUAACUUCGGGAUAAAGGGUCCUCGCUUAUAGCGAGGCGCAGAGAAUAGGUCCAGGCAACUGUUUAACAAAAACACAGGGCUGUGCAAACUCGAAAGAUGAUGUAUACAGCCUGACACCUGCCCGGUGCCGGAAGGUUAAGAGGAGACGUCAGCCUUAAGGUGAAGCGUUGAAUUGAAGCCCCGGUAAACGGCGGCCGUAACUAUAACGGUCCUAAGGUAGCGAAAUUCCUUGUCGGGUAAGUUCCGACCUGCACGAAUGG